AGGUCGCUCCUAAUUGAAAAUGAUGAAGACGGGAACAUGAGCAAUUGAGCAUGUUCAUACUUUGUGGAGAAUUUAAAAUCAUUAAUGUCUGGAGAAUACCGUUAGCUAUGAGGCUGAGUGCAAGACGAGUCUUUGACCACGGACGUGAUCUCGAGACGUUUGAGGCGUUUCGUAUUCACCAUGGAACGCAAAAGGAGAUAUUCUGAAGAAUGUCCAUGCUGCUGUUUUCCCUUCAAAAGCCGUUGAAGGUUUGUCACCAGACCGCUCGCGUUUCCGUCGUUCGGCUCCAGGGCUUGAUGCAUCUCAAUGAUAAAGAGCAGCAGGGAUACGUUAAUGCAAAGACGAUGUCACAUCUCUUUUAAUUAACCCAGUGAGCGCUGAUGCCCAGCUGCCUGAUUCCCACAGGGGAGGAAGUCGGCGUAGCAGACCGCUAGCUUCUCUCUUAUUCCUUUUGUAUAUCGGAGAUAACAGAUGCUCAGAGAAAUAUCACACUCAAGAAAGAUUAACAGAUGGCUACUCCUUACAUUAAAAUGUUGUACAUUAGCUAUAGCGGAGGUGGGUGGGUAAUUUAUUGUUAUUAGUAUUUUUCUGCUUUUGUGCAAAUUAACUAUUUCUGUUUACAACAGGGUAUGGAACGGUUCAAGGUAGCUAUUGACAAAAAAUGGCAGUUUUUGUUAACAUUUUGUUAAAUGUCCUCCAAAUACAGAAAAUCUCUUUUAUCCAACAAACGUACCCAAGAUCUCAAACUACUACUCUUGUGUCUUUUAUUCAGUGGAAAAGAAAUGAGGUGAAAAACAGUCGAGAUAGUUUUGCUCCUGUAGAAUAUAUUUCAGCAACACCUUAUCUAAUAAGAUCAAAUAGUUUACGCAUUCAUUUUUUGAAAAAUUAAAUAAAUAAAUAAAAAGU